rnacentral:rRNA from 1 species
CGGCGAGUGAAGCGGCAACAGCUCAAAUUUGAAAUCUGGCUCUUUCAGGGUCCGAGUUGUAAUUUGUAGAAGAUGUUUCGAGUGUGGCUCCGGUCUAAGUUCCUUGGAACAGGACGUCAUAGAGGGUGAGAAUCCCGUAUGUGACUGGUUGCCUUCGCUCAUGUGAAACUCUUUCGACGAGUCGAGUUGUUUGGGAAUGCAGCUCAAAAUGGGUGGUAAAUUUCAUCUAAAGCUAAAUAUUGGCCAGAGACCGAUAGCGCACAAGUAGAGUGAUCGAAAGAUGAAAAGCACUUUGGAAAGAGAGUUAAACAGUACGUGAAAUUGUUGAAAGGGAAGCGCUUGCAACCAGACUUGCGCGUAGUUGAUCAUCCGGGGUUCUCCCCGGUGCACUCGAUUACGCUCAGGCCAGCAUCGGUUUGGGUGGUUGGAUAAAGGCCUUGGGAAUGUGGCUUCCUUCGGGGAGUGUUAUAGCCCUCGGUGCAAUGCAGCCUAUCCGGACCGAGGACCGCGCUUCGGCUAGGAUGCUGGCGUAAUGGUUGUAAGCGACCCGUCUUGAACACGG